AUGCCUCGGUGUCGACAAACCCUAAAUAAUGAGACCAUGAUCUUGUUCCUUGACAAUAACCAACUUUUUGACCAAACUUUUUCCUAUUUAGAGCGAAACAUGGCCCACAACAAUGAGGCCGGCGGUUCGGGCGGCAAGCAAUUUUGGGAGCUGUCCCAGGAGAUGGAGGAAGAACCUCACCGCUAUGAGGACGCCGCGGAAGACACCGAUCCUGACUACACAACCCCUAGUGGCGUCGUGGAUGACACCACUGAUGGUGCCGCUGGGGAUGCCACCACUGAUGAUGGUAGUGCAUGCACAUAUGGCAGCCAACCGAAGAGGCAACGGAAGGACCAACGCCCGGACGUGCUCGGCACCGUCAAGGAGGAAUUUACUGAAGUGAACUCCGACGGGCAUCCAACGGCGCCCAAAGAAUUAGUCAAGGGGUACUCAGUUCAGCUCGGGUGCAUUCUCCGGAGCACCAUCUCGAUCAACACCGAGAACCUAAGGCAUAAGGACCGAGGGAAUUUGCGCAACCUCCUCUUCACGAAGCUGCACGAACGAUACAAGUUCCUCGGUGACUUUGCAAACACACGCCUCUCAGGGAAUAAAGUGAACAGUGCCGCCCUCACGAGGAUGAGCACGACCCUGUCUACUUGGAGAAGCGCGGUGAAGAGAAUGAUUGACAAAGGUGAUAGUUAUGAGAAGAUCAAGGCGAAAAAUCCUUCGAUCAGCGAAGAUGACUACAAGGAGUUCAAGAUCAAGUGCGGGAGCAGCGCAACCGUGGAAUCAAGUCAGUGGGGGAAAGAAAUGCGGGAGUUGAACUUAGGGGUCCACCAACUCGGUCCCGACGGUUACAGAGUGGCGGAGCCUAUAUGGGACAAGGAGGACGCUGAUACGUCUCCAACGUAUCUAUAUUUUUUGAUUGUUCCAUGCUAUUAUAUUACCCCUUUUGGAUGUUUAUGGGCUUUAUUUUACACAUUUAUAUCAUUUUUGGGACUAACCUACUAA
rnacentral:rRNA from 1 species